rnacentral:lncRNA from 1 species
ACAAAGUGAUAUAAGUUGUGAGAUAUACCUUUUUCCUCUUAACUAAUCAGUCAAAUAAAAUGAAGGAACCACCUAUCCACUAAAAACAAGAGGUCAAUGGCAGGAAGAGAAGAGGUCAAAAAUUUCAAAUUCAAAUGGCUGUCUACUGAGGAGAAUCUAAAUCAUGAGGUUCAAUGUCCAAGUAAGUAAUGGGAAGUAGUGCAGGUUUAAGUCCAUACUUUCUGGUUCCCACAUGAAUGUGAGAUUGGAAAUGGCCUCAUCAGAGGAAGUAGAAUAGGAGUUCCUCCUGAUUAAGCAUCUUCAGGCAUUGGGCUUGUGUUGGGCCGCCUACCUUUUUCAGAAUAAAAAUGUUCCAUGAGCAGAUAUACUAGAGAUGUAUUUAAUAAGGGAUGAUGGAGUUCCCUGGUGGCUCUGCAGGUUAAGGACCUGGUGUUGUCACAGCUGUGGCCCAGGUCCUAGCGUGGCUUGGGUUUGAUCCCUGGCCCUGAAACUUCUGCAUGCUGUGGGUGUGGCCAGAAAAAGAGUGAUGAGGAAACAUACAGUAAAGAGUAAAUCCUCCUCUACACAUGGGUUAAUGGAGACUUAGGCACUCUUACCUUCCUACAAAGUGUAAAGAGAUAGAUGGCUAAAUGCAAUUUCUCCAAAACAAAAAUGUAAAUGAAAGCAUAUCAAGGGUACAGAGGUUGGAAAAUCUUAGUGUUUGACUUAGCAUUUUCUGUAAAAACUCAUUACAGUUUGCCAAGCAAUACCACUCUUCAUUUCACUAACAUAACAUUUCAUUAAUGAGAGAUCUGUUAUCACAUGACCUUCCCUGGACAGAUGAUAUCCUUCUAAACACAGUAAGAACAUUUGCAGGUUGCAGAACGAGUAAUUUUGAAAGCUAAGAUGCCACACUAUUUUAGGUAAACUAUUUAUAUACCUGGGAACAACUGAUUAAUAAGAUCAAGGUUUGUUGGAGAGUUAGCUUAGAGCUCACUCCAUUCUUGACCAGUGGAUGACAGGAGAAAAUGAGCCUUUGACUGAGCAGAAGGUAGAGAAACUUCAUUCAGCAAAUGUGGAGUUUGCUUUCCACUUCAAGUUUGGGCCAGUAUCAGUUGCAUGGUUAUUGUCCCUUGAACUUGAAAAGUGACAAUGAUUCUACCUCAGUGGUCAUUUAUCAGAAAACGUACACAGGAUGGAAGAGGUGUGCUGAUGAGCCUAAUAUCUCUUGUUUUUUUACAUUACAUUUAAAGUCACAGUCAAAUCAGCAAGUCUCUGGAGAUGUAUAAAUGAGGGAAAUAAAUCUAAUGUUUAUAGGAAAGAAAAGAUACUCCAUGAAAAUCAAGGUGUGGGAAGGCAUAGAAUGGGGAAAACCAAACAGAAGAUAUUAAAAUGGGAGUAGGUCCAUAUCAGAAAAUUGGAGGGCAAAGAAGGGAAAGAGAAGCAGUGGAUGUCAUGCAGAUAGAAGUGCAGGAAACAUUAGAAUCAUUUCAAGGUUAUGAGGCAAAGAAUGUCAGAAAACUUUACCAAACAUUUUCCGACGUUCCGCUGAAAAAUAAAAUGAGAAGGUCAAUGUAAACCUCAAAAAACAAAGAUAAUUCACUCUUACUAAAAAUUUGCAUUUAAAGUACAUCUCAUUCAUAGUCUGGUACACACAAACACAAAACAGUAACACACAUAUGGAACCAUUUGUAUACGGGAGCACUCAGACCCGCGGAGUCACACACACAUGCUAACCCAUUCAGAGUGACCAAAUAGUCACUUUUGCUAAGAACCAUUUCCAGAAAUGGAGAGGGGCAUAACCUGAGUCAGUUUACUAUAUUGAGAGAGGAUUUUAGAAAUGUUAGUUCUGGGGGUAUUUUUUUUUAUAAGGUUAGUAAUCACUUUUUGUCAGUAGUUAGGCUUUCACUCUUCAGUUUGUAUGAUUAAGUGGGAAUGGUCAUCAUUAAUAAGUCCACAAACAACAAAUGCCUGAGGGGGUGUGGAGAAAAGGGAACCCUCCUGUACUCUUGGUGGGAAUGUAAGCUGGUACAACCACUAUGGAGAACAGUAUGGAGGUACCUUAGAAAUCGAUACAUAGAACUACCAUAUGACACCACAAUUCCACUGUUGGGCAUAUAUCCAGACAAAAUUUUCCUUCAAAAAGACACAUGCACCCGCAUGUUCAUAGUAGCACUAUUCACAAUAGCCAAGACAUAGAGACAACCCAAAUGUCCAUCAACAGAUGACUGGAUUAGGAAGAUGUGGUAUAUAUACACAAUGGAAUGCUACUCAGCCAUUAAAAAGAACAAAACAAUGCCAUUUGCAGCAACAUGGAUGGAACUAGAAACUCUCAUACUGAGUGAAGUAAGUCAGAAAGAGAAGGACAGAUACCAUAUCAUAUGACUUAAAUCUGGAAUCUAUUAUAUGGCACAAAUGAACCUUUCCACAGAAAAGAAAAACAUGGACUUGCAGAAUAGACUUGUGGUUGCCAAGUGGGAGGGGGAGGGAAUGGGAAAUAUGGGAUUAACAGAUACACACUGCUAUGUAUAAAACACAUAAGCAAUAAGGAUUUCCUGUGUAACACGGGGAAAUAUAUUCAAUGUCUUGAAACAACCUAUAAUGGAAAGUAAUCUGAAAAAAGAUAUUACACAUGUAUAUCUGAAUCACUUUGCUCUACAUUUGAAUGUAACAUCAUAUUGUACAUUUACAAUAGUUCAAUAAACAAAAAGUUUAUUCCUGUAGUGUGAAAAAUAUUUGAUAUCAUAUUAGGUAAUUGCAUGUCAUGAAAUUUUAAUGAAAAGUGGUAUUUUAGAGGUAAGUUAUAAUGGACCAAUUCCUGAAGUAUAAGUCCUAUAAUUAUUUAUCAAGAUUUUCAAUAUGGCAAAACUAAUAUUGUGUUACUAAUAGAGCAACAAAAUAGAAUAAUAUGGUAUUUUUCAUUAAAAUUUUUCCAAGAGAAUCACAACUUUUUGCUUACCUGGAAAUGCUUGGAUAACAUGUUAAAGAGCAGUGGAAAAAUGAGCCUCAAGUUCCCAUUAACUAAUGAUUGAUAUUUAUAAAGGAGAGGACAGUGGAUGGAAAAAUGUCGCUCACAUGAUAGACAUCUUCUCUCAUCUCUACAUGUUUGAGGAAGUGUCACUAGCAGGGAAAUGUUCUCUUGAACUUGGCAUAGGUGACAGGGUUCCUAUCUUUGGAUUGUGUUUCAGGAAGACAAACAAUGUGCCUGUCAACUUAAUGCCCUUCAUCCCAGCAACUUCUCAGGGAAACAACUGCAUGGCUCUAGAAAACAGAAAAAGCCAGUGUCCAUCGAGAAAGAAAGGUAAGGAAUGAAAAGAGGAGGAAUGGGAAAUUAUGGAUGGUUGGGAGAUGACGUGACAUUGAGGUAAUUAAGAAUGAAAUGCAUACACAUAUAAUUGGGGAGGGAAGGGCCGACAUCCAGGAGAAGAGCAAGGCAGAGGACGGAUGUAGAUUCAAAGGCAGGAAAUGAUAAUGCCAUGAGAAAACUGUCAUUUUAAUGGGUUUGGAAGCAAUGGGAUUUUUGAAAACUUACCUACACUUUUCUCACGUCCCUCUGAAAAGGAAAAUGGAGAUAUCAAUGUAAAUAUAAUGUAGAAAAGGGAAGGUAAUACAAAUUUAAGGCACUAUUCAUAUUUCAUAUUAAACCCACGUGGAUGCACCCACAAAUAAACACAUGUACACAAAAGCACUCGCACACUCACACACGUAUACACAUAUCCAGUGGCUGAGAUCUCAGUGUUAUCUGAAGAGCAUUCUUCAUAAAUGAAAAUGGGCAUAAAAUGAGCGAGUAUUCUGAUUUGCGUGAACGUUUUAGAACGGGAACUUCUCAUGCUAACCGUUAAAAUGUUCCUCAUCCCUUUGGAUACAGUUAGGCUUUUAUCGUUCAGUUUAUAGGAUGUCAUAAGUACUUGGCCCUUUAAUUAAAGUGUGUAUUCAAUCCGUUUAUUAUGCUAUCUACAUGACACAUACAGCCACAUACACUGAAUUGGAGGAUCUUACAUCAUUGCUUCUAGAGGUACUAUAGGGUAUAUCACCUGGGCUCCAUUACUAAGAAUACUUUCAUUAUCCAAUGAAUAUAUAAUAUUGUGUAUGUUUCUCUUUUAACCACACUUAAAUACGAUUUUAUUAUGUUCCGUGAAAAGACGUGUUAAUGGAUGUGAAGUAGGUCUAAAUCAUGUGACUUGAGCAUGUCUUGGACAAAAUUUUCACUUUGGCCACUGUGAAAAACCAUUACUUCAGAGGCAUAUGAUUAGUAAAAAAUGCUCAACUUAAAAGGAAUGUCUGUGAAUACACUGCAAUAACAGGACAAAUCAAAUAGCAGUAUUGAGGGAUGAUUGAAUAGCAAAUAUAUGGGGAAAGCUUCAGGUGCAAAGGUAAGAUCCCAGGAAAAAUCAUGUAAAAUAUGCACGUGUUGGGCUUGAGAAAGAUGAUCUUUGGAAGUUGAAGGGAAAGGCACAGUUAACCGAUAAAGUCAUGCUUAAGCACACAGGGAAAUGCAUUCAUGGGACUUACCAGUUUCCUCUUCAUAUUGGUCAAUAAAUGCAAAAAAGAAAGAAAGAAUUCAUUCAAGAUGAGGGCACAAUACCAGGAAGUAGGAAAACAAAACUUUCAAACACCUCCAAAGUUAUUUCUGAUCGUUGUCUUCUGAGAAUUGGAACUGCAAAAUUCAA